GGUGGCUCAGUGGUAGAGUGCUGGCCUCACAUGCCUGAGGCCCAGGGUUCAAUUCCUCAACACCG
rnacentral:tRNA from 1 species